AGUCCAGUGUGUGUGCAUCGAGUCAGUGCAAGAGAGUUAGUGCAAAAAAGGGUCCAUUUGAUUAGCUAUUUGGCAGUCAUGUAUAGCAGUCUUAUAGCUUGGGGGUAGAAGCUUGGUGCACUGGUACUGCUUGCUGUGCGGUAGCAGAGAGAACAGUCUAUGAUGUGGGGGGCUUUUUCGAACACUGCCUGAUAUAAUGUCCUGGAUGGCAGGGACCUCGGCCUCAGUGAUAUACUGGGCUGUACUCACCACCUUCUGUAGCGCCUUGUAGACUGCCUCGCAGUUGUCAUACAAAGUGGUGAUGGAGCCAGUCAAGAUGCACUCAAUGGGGCAGCUGUAGAACCUUUUGAGGAUCUGAGGGCCCAUGCCAAAUCUUUUCAGCCUCCUGAGGGGGGUAGAGGCACUGUCGUGCCCUCUUCACAACUGUGUGGAUGUGUGUGGGCCAUGUUAAUUCCUAGGUGAUGUGGACACCGAGAAACUUGAAGCUCUCAACCUGCUGCACUACAGCCCCAUUAAUGUGGAUAGGGGCGUGCUCACUUCUUCGUUUCAUGUAGUCCACGAUCAGCUCCUUUGUCUUUCUGAAAUUCUGGCACCACACUGCCAGGUCUCUGACAUCCUCCCUAUAGGCUGACUCAUCGUCAUCCAUGAUCAGUCCUACUGAUCAGUCCUACUACCGUUGUGUCAUUAGUAAACAUGAUGAUGAUGUUGGAGUAAUGUUUGGCCAAGCAGUUGUGGUUGAACAGGGAGUACAGGAGGGGAGCACGCACACCUGAGAGGCCUCCGUUUUGAUGGUAAGCAUGUCAGAUGUCGCCUGGGGUCGGCCCGUCAGGAAUUCCAGGAUCCAGUUGCAGAGGGAGGUGUUCAGUCCCAGGAUCCUGAGCUUGAUGAUGGAGUAAUCUCUGGUGGACAGAUUCACGUGUAAACGGUGAGAAUCUGUCAACGCUCACGUAGAAUAAACUAUUGAACCUAGAAGACCGAGAGACGGGAGUAGGCAAGGAGUCACCCGCAAUUGGCAAGAGGAAUGUCGAGUUGUCCUGAAAAGCAUGGUAAGCUAACAUGGCAAGCUGAGUGAGUGUCAAGCUAGCUACAUUAGCAUUUUACAGCCAGACUGUGUCAGUUGUACAUGUAGUUAGCCAGAUAAUUAAGUAAACUGCAAUUAUCAUAAACCUUUAUUAUCUAGCUACCUACAGUAAAAUAAGGAGGAGCAUGAUGUUGUGAUGAUGGAAUAAGUCGAGGGAGCAAUUGUUAGUGAGAUGAGACGUGGUGCCAUAACAUAAUUCACUUGGAUGGCAUGUCGUAUUUUUAAAUCAGCUCUAUUGUUGUCAUUUACCGACAUGAAUCAUGAACUAGGCAAACUGAUACAUGAAUACUAAAUGCAGGUACCAUUUUAUUCAGUUGAUCUCUGCAGGUUUGUCAUCUGAUUCUUUGGAGCCUGUGGGGGAAUAAUCAGAAUUAGUUGGGUAACCUAGAUAAGAUGUUUUAUAUUCAUUAUAUGCUUGUGAGUUACUUCUCAUCAGAAUGUCUAUUUUUAUAUAAUACUGUGGGCCGGUUGCAGUUCUGUUCUCUGUCAUGGGGUAAGUUACUUGGGCCGCAGAGAGGGGAGGGGUCAAGCUUGUUUUCAUAUGUAAACAUAUCUUUUAAAUCAAUUAUCUCUUGGCUCCACAAUGUCUGUGUGCCAGUCACUGUGUCUCUGUGAUCUUGUCAAGGAGGGGUGCAUUUGAUAUAUGCCUGUUGAUAGUUUUUGUUUUAUGGUCCUGAGAGCGAGAUAAGAACAUAGUUUAGGAGACAAAGCUGAACGAUAAUUUAUAGCCAAUGCUGUCUGACUAUGUGUGUCUUUGCUAUAAAGGAUCUCAGUUGCAAUGUGUAAGGACUCUCAGAGAAUUCAUUGAUAGACACUGAAUUGAUCUGAGUCACAGGGUUGUGAUGGAGCUCAUAUAAUUAAAGAUGGACUUUAUGAUAACUCUGACUUGUGUGUGGUUUGCUCUCAUGAUUUGGUAAAUACAGGAAAUUUCCACGACAAGCCUGAAGGAGAUAAAUGUCUUGCCUUGUAGAAUGUCAGCGUUUAUCUGCAUCCAGGUUAAAGCUGGCUACCAGCAGGAACCUGGAGCACUCUGUGUCAUGCUACAUAGACAGAAUGGUUCAAGGACCUCCAGAGCCCUCUGACCAUCUACCUGUGAUCUCUCCAGAGCACAGACAAGUGAGUCUUCUGGGCUAUAGAACUCCAGAGCAACACAUCCGCAAACCUGCCACCCAUUGUCAGCUAAUCAUCCAACUAACUAACUAAAACAUUUUUUUUUCUUGGCCACA